rnacentral:tRNA from 1 species
GCUAACGUAGCUUAAAUUAAAGCAUAACCUUGAAGAUGUUAAGAUGAGCCCUAAAAAGCUCCGUAGGCA